rnacentral:rRNA from 1 species
GACGAACGCUGGCGGCGUGCCUAAUACAUGCAAGUUGAGCGAUGAAGCUUGGUGCUUGCACCAAUUUGAAGAGCAGCGAACGGGUGAGUAACGCGUGGGGAAUCUGCCUUUGAGCGGGGGACAACAUUUGGAAACGAAUGCUAAUACCGCAUAACAACUUUAAACAUAAGUUUUAAGUUUGAAAGAUGCAAUUGCAUCACUCAAAGAUGAUCCCGCGUUGUAUUAGCUAGUUGGUGAGGUAAAGGCUCACCAAGGCGAUGAUACAUAGCUGACCUGAGAGGGUGAUCGGCCACAUUGGGACUGAGACACGGCCCAAACUCCUACGGGAGGCAGCAGUAGGGAAUCUUCGGCAAUGGACGAAAGUCUGACCGAGCAACGCCGCGUGAGUGAAGAAGGUUUUCGGAUCGUAAAACUCUGUUGGUAGAGAAGAACGUUGGUGAGAGUGGAAAGCUCAUCAAGUGACGGUAACUACCCAGAAAGGGACGGCUAACUACGUG